CCUGGUCCGGAUGAUAUUCCGGUUGAAUUCUAUCAACACUGCUGGGAUGUAGUGGCCCCAGACCUCCUUUGCCUGUUUGAAUGGUUUCAUGAUGGCAAGCUAGAUGUACAACGACUUAACUAUGGCAUCAUAACUUUGUUGCCUAAGUCGACUGAUGCUAAUAGAAUCCAACAAUAUAGACCCAUUUGUCUAUUGCGUUGCCCCUAUAAACUUCUUACUAAAGCCAUGGAUAUUAGAGCUAGCAAAUAUGCCCACAAGCUGUUUAGUAUUCACCAGAAUGCUUUUAUUAAGGGGAGACACAUAGUGGAUGGAAUCCUAUCUCUCCAUGAGAUUUUGCAUUAUACUCAUGUCAGAAAGCAGGUUGGAGUGAUUUUGAAAAUCGACUUUGAAAAAGCAUAUGAUAAAGUAAAUUGGGAUUUUCUGCUUGACUGUCAUAGGAAACGUGGGUUUAAUUCUAAGUGGUGUGGGUGGGUCUCUCAAAUUCUAAAGAAUGGCACGGUCAGUGUCAAGAUCAAUGAUGAGGCGGGUCCUUACAUCCAAAGUGCUAAGGGGGUGAGGCAGGGGGAUCCUCACUCCCCUUUCCUAUUUAAUAUUGCGGCUGAUUGCCUGACCAAAAUGGUACUUACAGCACAAAAGAAUGGUCUCAUUAAAGGAUUAGCUGUUGAUCUUAUUGAGAAUGGGGUUUGCAUCCUGCAAUACGCGGAUGACACGGUACUUUGUUUUGAGUAUGAUAUUGACAAAGCUGUGAAUAUCAAGCUCUUGCUUUAUCUCUUUGAGCUUAUGUCUGGGCUUAAGAUCAAUUUUGAGAAGANNNNNNNNNNNNNNNNNNNNNNNNNNNNNNNNNNNNNNNNNNNNNNNNNNNNNNNNNNNNNNNNNNNNNNNNNNNNNNNNNNNNNNNNNNNNNNNGGAGUCCCUGUUACUUACUCCACUCUCAAGAAUGCGGAUCUAUAUUUCCUUGACGGAAAAAUGAUCAAAAAACUUGAUGCCUGGGUAGCAUAUGCGGCAUCUUCUGGAGCUAGACUAACACUGUUAGGGUCUAGUUUGGAUGGAAUUCCCUCUUUCCUCAUGUCAAUGUUCCUCUUCAAUAAAACCUUUAUUGAGAAGAUGGAUAAACAUCGUAGACGUUUCUUUUGGAGGAGGAAAAAAAAGAAACGUGGGUACCAUAUGGUUAAGUGGACGAGGAUAUGUCGAUCAAAAAAUAUUGGGGGACUAGGGAUUAAAGAUCUUCAUAAGCAAAAUAUUGCCCUACUCGCUAAGUGGUGGUGGAAAUUAGAAACGAGUGAUGGGCUAUGGCAACGUAUUGUAAGAGCUAGAUACUUCAGGAACAAAACAGUGGCCACCUUUUGGAGCCGCUUUUCGGACUCUCCCUGCUGGAAAGCGAUUAUGAAGGUCAAGGACUCUUAUAUGGCAGGAAGAAAAGUUAAGAUCGAAAGUGGAAACCUGGCUAGGGUUUGGUAUGAUCCAUGGGUGGAAGAUACUCUGCUGAAAGAUCGCUUUCCUGAUCUUUUUGGUAUUUGCCAGGAACAGGAAUGCACGGUUGCAUCUUGGGCAUCUAACAAUUAUGAACUUGGCUUCAGGCGGAGACGGGUGGGGGUGUUGGGUGAGCAGUGGGCUUGGAUGGUUAUGGAAGCUAAGAAACUGUCGUUGAGUGACUCCCCAGAUAGAAUCUUGUGGGCUUUUGGUAGUAAAGGGAAGUUUACUACUAAAUCUUUAUAUGGAUGGUUGGAAAGAAAUCUUUCGGGUCCUAACUAUAGGAUGGUGUGGAAAGCACCCAUCCCGCUGAAAAUUAAGAUUUUCCUUUGGCAGCUGUUUCAAAAUGCAGUUCUCACUCGCGAUAAUAUGCGCAUUAGAAACUGGCCUGGGAAUCCUGUGUGCUCAUUCUGUACUGAAGUCGAAACAGCAAAUCAUCUGUUCUUUACCUGUUCGCUUGCUCGGUCAGUUUGGGGGGUGUUGGGCAUGACGGCUGGGGCAUCCUGUUGCCCUCGCUCUCUGUGGCAAAGCUUUGCU
rnacentral:rRNA from 1 species